CCAGGAUGUUGGCUUAGAAGCAGCCAUCAUUUAAAGAAAGCGUAAUAGCUCACUGGUCGAGUCGGCCUGCGCGGAAGAUGUAACGGGGCUAAACCAUGCACCGAAGCUGCGGCAGCGAACGUAUCACCCAAGACAACUUUACGGAGUUGACGAUUGACGGAGCGAAGCGACGUCAAAGCGUUCAUUAAAGUCGAGUUGGCUUAGGGAUACGUUCGUUGGGUAGGGGAGCGUUCUGUAAGCCUGUGAAGGUGGCCUGUGAGGCUUGCUGGAGGUAUCAGAAGUGCGAAUGCUGACAUAAGUAACGAUAAAGCGGGUGAAAAGCCCGCUCGCC
rnacentral:rRNA from 1 species